GCCACUUUAGCUCAGCUGGAUAGAGCAGGGUUUUUGUAAAGCUCAGGUCACCCGUUCAAGUCGGGUAAGUGGCU
rnacentral:tRNA from 1 species